CCUACGGGUGGUAGCAGUGGGGAAUAUUGGACAAUGGGGGGAACCCUGAUCCAGCCAUGCCGCGUGUGUGAAGAAGGCCCUCGGGUUGUAAAGCACUUUCAGUGAGGAAGAACGCCUGGUGGUUAAUACCCAUCAGGAAAGACAUCACUCACAGAAGAAGCACCGGCUAACUCCGUGCCAGCAGCCGCGGUAAUACGGAGGGUGCGAGCGUUAAUCGGAAUUACUGGGCGUAAAGCGCGCGUAGGUGGCUUGAUAAGCCGGUUGUGAAAGCCCCGGGCUCAACCUGGGAACGGCAUCCGGAACUGUCAAGCUAGAGUGCAGGAGAGGAAGGUAGAAUUCCCGGUGUAGCGGUGAAAUGCGUAGAGAUCGGGAGGAAUACCAGUGGCGAAGGCGGCCUUCUGGACUGACACUGACACUGAGGUGCGAAAGCGUGGGUAGCAAACAGGAUUAGAUACCCGGGUAGUC
rnacentral:rRNA from 1 species